UCGUAAACUCCCAACUUUACGGCAUGACACACUCACCUGCCAUAAUAUUAACCUGGGCCGAGGUCACUGUGUUGUCUGCUUGGCUCAAAAUAACAAGUAGUUAAAAUAAACAGCCGUGCGUUCAUUAGACGAAGAGGCGCAGCUCCGUUUGGGCGAAAAUAACCUGUCAACAACGCGAAGUAACAACAGGAGAUAACAACAGGCACCAACUGCUGAUUUCACACCAGUGGAAGAGCUCGCCCUGGAUCAGAAUCGAGGCAGGCCGAUGAUGGAGGGGAUACGGGGGGGACAGCUACAGACUCUGUCCCACCCACCGAAAUCACCCUCUUCAUACAAGUGUCAGGUGACACACUGACCCUUCUGGAGCCACCAGAAGAUGAUCCGGGUGAAGGCACAUCUGUAGCAGUGGAUGCAGCAGAUGAGGAGGAGACACUUUCUCUGGACUCCAGACGGUUUGAGGACACAGAUGAACAGCCUGACAGCCUGCCUGGAAAUGUAGUGAGUAUUGCCUGAAGGACAUCCACGGUGUCCACAAUUGCUGUGCUAAUAGAUAUGUGUUUUACAGAAUUCACAAACUGUCGGACAGCAAUAUGCUACUCAUCUGAGGAAGCAAAUAGCCCUGGCAGAUGUCAAGCUCCAGUGUGAGAAGAGGAAGCUGCAGGACAUGGAACUUGACAGACAAAAGAAAGAACUUAAGGAAACUGGACUUGGAAACUAAGAAACUAGAGAAAGAACUCAAAGCAGACAGUGACUGAUUUUAGUAUUUUUCAUUUAAAUAAAAUGAGGUCAAAGA